rnacentral:rRNA from 1 species
UACGAAGGGGGCGAGCGUUGUUCGGAUUUACUGGGCGUAAAGGGCGCGUAGGCGGCUUAGUUAGUCAGGCGUGAAAUUCCUGGGCUCAACCUGGGGACUGCGCUUGAUACGGCUAGGCUAGAGGAUGGAAGAGGGUCGCGGAAUUCCCAGUGUAGAGGUGAAAUUCGUAGAUAUUCGCAAGAACACCAGUGGCGAAGGCGGCUCACUGGCCCGGUACUGACGCUGAGGUGCGAAAGCGUGGGGAGCAAACAGG